ensembl:lncRNA
UGCUUGAGACUUGAAGGUUAUGACUUGAGACUUGCUUGUGACUUGCACAUUAAUGACUUACCCCCACCUCUGCCACUUAGACUAACGAUGCUUUCGGGUUACGGGGCCCUGGUCUGAGUCUGAUUUAACUCUGGGGCUGGGGGAGGCUGCACACCUGUUGCUCGUUGACCAAUCAGAGUGCAGCUAACCCUUUACAGAGAACGGCUCUUACCUUCAAUAGGCAGAGGUGGGCUGUACUACUCGGACUAAGAGAGGGGUACGUGAUUGUGUGCGUAUUUGGUCCGAAAAAGCGGUAAAGUGCGACUGAACAAUGCAAUCCAGUAGCGUGAUGCUGGUGGUUCUGCUCCUCGAAGUGCUCUGCCGGGCCGCACCCCCCAGCACGGAGAUGGUGACCCUGGAAGUGGAGUUGGGGGCCAUGGCGAUCUUCCCCUGCAAUGGCUCCUCCUUUCUGGGGCUGGGGGCCGGCGGGGGCUCGGGGGAGAGGAGGAGGAUGAGGGGGGGCUGUUCGUCUGGGAGGCCAUGGGGAAGGACGUGGUCGCCUUCAAGGACGGGGCCAUGGUGGAGGGCUCCCAGUACGAGGGGCGUGUUCACCUGGCGUCUGAGGACAGCGUCCUGACGGGUGAUUGGUCGCUGGUUCUGGAGGGGGUGCGGCACGCCGAUGUCAACAUGUACGAGUGCAUCGUACCGGGGAGAAGGACCCUGGCCAAUGUGUGGCUGAGCGUGGAGCCCCCUGAGGGGCAGACCCUGUGGGUGAACGCGUGGCUCGGGGACUCCACCUACCUGAGCUGUGAGGCCCCAGAGGCGGAGCGCUCACUGGACCUCCGCUUCUGGUGGGAGAAGGACGGGGUCCCGGUGCCGCACGACCAUGAGGAUAAAGAUCGUUUCCACGUGGAGACGGACGGUAACCAUGUGGGUCUGAUCAUCAGCCAGGCCCUCUCAAGAGCCGAGGCGAGGGUCUCCAGAAAUCGUGAAAUUGACCGUUUUGGGAUCGGAGCACUUGGACGACGAGGAGAUGGGCCCCGAGGCUACUCCAUCGACGGAGCCUUCUACGCCACAGGAUGAGGAGGAGGAGGUGCCGACCCCCUCGGACCCCACCCUGCUGGAGAGCCCCCUACUCCUCUCCGAUGACACCCUCGGUGGGCAGGACAACAGCCAUGGGGAUGAUGUGCCCUGGGUUCGAAUCACCAUCAUGACCAGUGUUCUGGCCAUCACUGCCGUCACGCUUUGCAUCCUAAGAGCCCGGUACAUAAUCUGACCAUAGAGCGCGCCUUCGAUCAGUAUCUGAGAUCGGAAGUUAGAGCCGCAGCGAUUUGACCAUUCAGAGAAAAGAUGUGCAAAAAAUGUUUGUGAUCUUUUCUAUGGGAAGCUCAUUCACAGAACAUUGUGUUUUCUUUUUACAAAUAUGUAUUGCGCGAAUCCGUUAUGUGCAAUCUUUGGAAUUUCCGUAGUGUUUUAUCGAGUAAUAAAAAAAUAGUUUUAUCAUUUAUCUGGAAAGCAGAACCCGAGGGACCCAAGGCACUAAGAGUGUGGAUUUCGGUAAAUAUUUUAUUUCAUGACCCCCCAGAAAAUAAAUACAUUUUAUUUAUAAAAUAUUAUUCUCAACUUCUAAACGUCUUUAAACGAAAAAAAAAAAAAAGGCCUUUUUUUUAUGCAUUUCUGUUUUAAUGAAGGAACAUCUUUAGAGAUUGCCAAUGAAAAUGAAAAUGUUCAUCUGCUAACAUUUUCAUGAAACUGUUAUUAUCAUUAUUCAGUAAUUAUGCAAACUUAUUGUGUCAAAGGAACACGAUGUGAUGACAGACAACCUCAGAUGCUCUUUACCUCCCAGCAAUAGCAUAAAGCUUUUAUAUAUAGCAACUGGUACAGUAUACAUGACCACUCCAAGCUCAGAAUAUCCGAGGGAGGGAGGGAGAGAGAGAGAGAGAGAGAGAGAGAGAGAGAGAGAGAGAGAGAGAGAGAGAGAGAGAGAGAGAGAGAGAGAGAGAGAGAGAGAGAGAGAGAGAGAGAGAGAGAGAGAGAGAGAGAGAGAGCGCGAGAGAGCGAGAGCGAGCCCACUGCACCGUCAGUCAAAGGACGUCGGAAGGCGUGGCUGACGGAUGGGGGAGCUUUCCAGGGUCGUCACGCCUCGUGCCCACUACCUCCGUCCGUUGACUGAUCCCCAUUGACUUUGAAUGGGGACGGACGUGCAAUGCAUUGUGGAUCCGUGCGCUGAAGGCUCCGUCAAAAAGUUUAAAAAUGUUCAACUUUUUCAGCAG